CCAUCGUCGCCGGUCCUCGGUGCGUUUCGUUAAAUUUUCGCUGCUCUCAAGUCUCGGGCUGCAGCAACGCCGCUGAACGAGCCGCGAGCUCUCAGAGCAGCAAAGAAAAUAGUCAAAGGUAAAUUCAGUCGAAGUGAAAAAGUUAACGUCAGUGAUAUUCCACAGUGCUGAAUUAUCGUGUGAUCCUCCUUCAAGUGAUAUGUGGGUUCAGGACAAACUUACUAACAACUAGCUGUUCUUGUUCUUUUUUUCUGUGUCACAUAAAAUCAAGGAGGAUGAGGUCUACCGUGACGUUCUUGUGUCUCGGGUUUGCCUUCGCCUUAGCGUUUGCCUCUGCAAACCAUCUUUCAUCAUCAUUAUCGACAUCACGAGAGGAAAUAUCAUUCUACCUCACAACUGAUUUUUCAUUAAAAGUCAAGUGAAAUAGUCAAAUAACCGUUCGAGAAAAAAAAAACUCUUUCAAGUGUCUCUCGAGCCUCUAUCUCUUUUUUUCUUUCGAACAAUCAAUUCAAAAACCGAAAUGAUCAUCACGGUGUGAAAUGUCAAUUUAGUAACGUUGUUGAAUACAAUUAAUAACGAGGUAGUGCUUUGCAUGGGGUGUAAAGAAAAAAUUUAAUUGAGUAUCAAUCGAACGUAGGUAUAAAUAAAAGAUUAGCAGAAUAAAACAUGGAUAAAUGCUGGUUACAGUUUUUUGGUCAAAUAUUGGCAUAAUGUGUGCGCGAAGAGAUACGGACAUUCUCAACACUAGGGGUUAAGAUUUCCGCGAGUGUCAUUCUUUUGUUUUUAUUUAUUUCUUAUGGAUUUUAAAUUCCGAAGAAAAAAGGAAAUAAGUAAUAGACUGUAAUGUGGUGUAAACGUGCAUUGAAGUGAAUCGGUGGUAGAGAUAAUAAAGAACAGCAACAAUCGAAUUUGAAUAAAUAAAAAAAUACCAAGAGCGAAAGAACACGGCGUCGACGUCGACAUCUACGUCAAGAUGUCGGGUCAGGGUAGCCGAAGUCGUGCGGUCCAUAUAAGUUCGAUAUUUCAAAAGAUUCAGGGUCGUUUUACAGACGCAAUGACACCGCCAAAAUUGUCAACGGACAAAAGGAUGUUGGAUAAAACAUGGAAGUUGAUGGAUAAGGUUGUAAAAUUGUGUCAGCAUCAGAGAAUGAAUUUAAAAAACUCACCGCCCUUUAUACUUGAUAUUUUACCCGACACGUAUCAACGUUUGAGGUUGAUUUACACUAAAUACGAAGAAAAAAUGCAGGUGCUUCAUAGCAACGAACAUUUCUGUGUAUUUAUCAAUAAUUUAAUGAGAAAGUGCAAACAGGCUAUAAAACUUUUCAAAGAGGGAAAGGAAAAGAUGUUCGACGAGGCUUCUCACUACAGAAGAAACCUUACAAAACUUAGCCUUGUUUUCAGCCACAUGCUAUCUGAACUUAAGGCCAUUUUCCCUAACGGUGUUUUCGCCGGUGAUCAAUUCCGCAUCACAAAAUCAGACGCUGCUGAAUUUUGGAAAGAACGAUUCGGAAACAACACGCUCGUACCUUGGAAGGUAUUCAGAUACGAAUUGAAUCAAGUACACGCCAUCAGUUCUGGACUAGAAGCAAUGGCCUUAAAAUCUACUAUAGAUCUCACCUGUAACGACUACAUCUCUAAUUUUGAAUUUGACGUUUUCACCAGACUAUUUCAGCCCUGGUCAACGCUGCUUCAAAAUUGGCAGACAUUGGCCGUGACGCAUCCUGGAUAUGUCGCAUUUCUUACCUAUGACGAGGUUAAGGCUAGACUGCAAAAAUAUUGUAUAACUAAAGCUGGAAGCUACGUCUUUCGAUUAAGCUGUACAAGGCUAGGUCAAUGGGCAAUUGGUUACGUUACAUCGGACGGCGAUAUUCUGCAGACUAUACCCCAUAACAAAAGCCUCAUACAAGCACUGCUUGACGGUUAUCGGGAGGGCUUCUACUUGUUCCCCGACGGUCGUAACGUUAACCCUGACCUCACGUGGGCUGUUCAACCUACGCCGGAGGAGCACAUAAAAGUUACCGCUGAACAGUAUGAACUCUACUGCGAGAUGGGAAGCACAUUUCAGCUAUGUAAAAUAUGUGCGGAACACGACAAAGAUGUCAGAAUAGAACCCUGCGGUCACCUUCUCUGCACACCAUGCCUAACAGCGUGGCAGGUAGAUUCCGAGGGUCAAGGUUGCCCAUUUUGUAGAGCAGAGAUCAAGGGAACAGAGCAAAUAGUUGUGGACCCUUUUGAUCCUCGGCGAACCCAUCGGCCAGGUGCACAUUCGGCUUCUGUCAGUAAUGCUUCCACGCCAACGAGGGACCUUGACCCAGACAACGAGGAUUUGUCGGAAAUUAGUAACGGAAAUUGUGGCCUGAUUUACGACGAGUCGGAUGACGAUGACGACUUCAGCUCUAUGGGUUCGCCACUCCUACCUAGAAGGACAGUUUCGAGCCCUCCACUACCACCAAGAAGAUCUCCGACACCAAAUAGUCACAUAAGAAAUACUCGGCAUUUGACCGUACCGAAUGAAAAUGCUCCUCCACCCCCUUUUGUCACUGUUUUAACGCUGACUGAAAGUCACCAGAACAACACAGCCAACACUGAAGCGAGGUACGACAUGCUGCAUCGAGCAUCUUCUCCAUCUCCGGUACCUCCGGUAAUAAUCAGACCACACGCAAGAGUGUAUCGGCCUCCACCAGCGCUUCCGGAAAGAGCAACCCUUCAUUCCCCGCCAAUAGUUUCACCUGUACCACCUCCCCAGUCUACGCAGCGUCCUCCAAAGCCCAUUAAAGACCCUCACGAACAGGAUCACCAGUAUGAAAAUACGAUAAUAAUACCCGGGACUCGUCAGCACGUCGUUAAAAAUAUAAAUCUGGAAAUGAACAGGGCUAGACUUUCGGCGCUGAUGAGAGGAAGGGAUGAAGCUGGUGGACCUAUUGGUAAAGCGGAAGCUGCUGCUUAUGAAAAUGUUAACGUUGAACAUAUUUCAAGACUCACUGCCCUCGGAUUUGCACAAGAUGCCGUCAUCAGGGCUCUCGGCAUCACUAGAAACGAUCUCGAAAUGGCAAGAGAUAUUCUGCACGAAUUUGCUACAAAGACAAAUUCCUAACAAGGUAGUGUACUACCAGAGCCAAGAGAUUUCAGAACGGAAUCCCCUAGUUAUUAACUUUUUAAUUUGUAUUGAUUCGAAUCAAUCGCACACAUUUUACAAGGUAAAAUUUCUAUUAUCUUUUAUGAUUGUUUCUUAUUAUCAAUCUCAUUAUAUUAUAAUUUUUGUUAUUAUGAUUAUUCCAGGAGAAUCGCUUCUGCUCUUUUUGAACGUCAAAUUAACAUGAUUAUUGUAUCCGAUUUUUUUCUAAUUGGUUUAAAAAACAGAUGAUCCAUUUAUGAUAAUUUUAUUCGCAGAGUUCUGUUAUAAUUCCUUAUUCAAUCUUUUGAUUUUGCCAUUGAAUCCCGGCUGAAAAAAGCUCGUAGAAGUAACUUGGGGUGUGAAGCGAAGAAGAAUUAUUCAAAAAACUGGAAAUGGGACUGGGACGGGAAAUGAAGGUUGGAGGAAGUAUAUGAAUGGAAAAAAGUGACGAAAUAUGAACCAACUGAUCCUAUUUACUACAUUAAAUUCGAGGUAACAAAAAAAAUACCAAACACCACAAAAAACAACACACAUAUGAGUAAAUAAACGAAUAUGCAAAUAUGUAGAUUACUAGGUAUAACAAAAAUAAUUAUGCGAUUAGAGGUACGUACGUAGUAAACGAAUAGGAAACUAAAUGAGAAUCAAUUAGAAUAAUACACGUUAGUAAUAGUUGACUCAAGUAAUAGUUGCUACUAAUUAAAACGUACAAUUUAACUAUUUGCGUGGACUGAUUUUAAUAAAAAAAAGAAAUUAAUAAUUAAAUAGAUGACGGGAAAGAUCAAUGAGGAGAUCAAAUAAUCGCAAACAAUAGAAAUAAUAAAGUUUAUUAAGUGGGUUGAAAAAAAACCACCGAUCGAGCACCCAUGAUUUUUUGCUGAUUCGGAGUUACAAAAACAAGAUGAAAGAAAUAAAAAAAUAAAAGGGUUAAAAUUGAAUUCAAAAUCAUAGGGGUGAUUGAAAAUUUCUAACUCUCUCUUAUCUGUCUUAAUUUUCUCUUUAAUGUAUUUAUAUCAUAUAGCUGCUGUACGUCAA